UACGUAGGGUCCGAGCGUUGUCCGGAAUUACUGGGCGUAAAGGGCGCGUAGGCGGCCUGCUAAGUCGAACGUGAAAUCCCCGGGCUCAACCCGGGAACUGCGUCCGAUACUGGUUGGCUUGAAUCCGGGAGAGGGAUGCGGAAUUCCAGGUAUAGCGGUGAAAUGCGUAGAUAUCUGGAGGAACACCGGUGGCGAAGGCGGCAUCCUGGACCGGCAUUGACGCUGAGGCGCGAAAGCCAGGGGAGCAAACAGG
rnacentral:rRNA from 1 species